CCAUUUUCAAUCCCAUCUCCUACAACCGCCAUGGAGUCACCACAAUUGAAAACAAGCGUAUUCACAUCCCCAAACACUUCCUUAUACCUCAAAAAGUUCGACCAAUGAGUUAACCCCUCCAUCCAAUCAAACUCCUCCGCAGCCGCCGACUCGUCCUCCCCCGAGUUUGGCUUCUUAAUCUUCUGCUUCACUAAUGUGUACUGGUGCCUCAUAUUCUGCACUUUAGUGGACACAUCCUUCCAAGUCCAUUGCCAUGGAUACGUGAUCGGAUCAUGAACAUGGUGCACAGAAUUUACAUGUAAAGCAAUAGCCAGCCGCCGACUCGUCCUCCCCAGAGUUUGGCUUCUUAAUCUUCUGCUUCACUAAAGUAUAUUGGUGCCUCAUAUUCUGCACUUUAGUGGACACAUCCUUCCAAGUCCAUUGCCAUGGAAACGUGAUCGGAUCACGAACAUGGUGCACAGAAUUUACAUGUAAAGCAAUAGGUCUAUACUUCUUUUCCCUAGUUUUCAUCUUAGCUAAUGUCCCAUCACAUAACAUUUCACCAUAUUUAUCAAUUAAAGUUCUUUCUUCUGCGUCAGUCCACUUUUUUCUUCUUGGUUGUGGCAUCAUCAAAAUAAAACUAACUCCACUACUCAAUUCAACAAACUUUAAGAAGCUCAAAAAUCACAUACACAACUUAAAUGCCCAAAACCCCAAAUUGCAGUUUUUUUUUUAAACCACAAUUCCAUAUAAAAUUGAAUCAACACUCAAAUUGGCCAAGAAUUUGUCCAAGAAAAGCUAAAUGGUAUACUCAAAAUCACAACUUUUUAGCAAAUACCCAAACUUACAACUUUUUAGUAAAUACUGAAAGUUACAACUUUUUGAGCAAAUACCCAAAAUCACAACGUUAUAGCAAAUACCAAAAAUUACAACUUUUUAGAAAAUACCCAUAUUAAAUUGAGGAAGAACAAUUGCAUAUAUGUAUAAAUAAGACCAAAAAGAGUGAUAAAGAACUGACCUUUAAACCAGUAAUAGGUUUCUUGAAUUGGGGAAGAAACACAGAUAAAGGUGAGGAAAUUUAGAUGGUGAAAGUUAAAGGGAAAAAAAAUGGAAAAUUGGGAUUUUCAGGUUUGGUUUGAGUUUUAUUGGGGUGGGGGUGGGGGGGUGAGGGGGUUUGUGUAGUUAGUAGUUCAGCUGUGUCAAAAGCAUUUCUUUCACUACUGGUCGAAACCCGAAAGAGCAGAGAGAUUCGCAGGAGCUGAGCAGGAUUCAUGUGAUG
rnacentral:lncRNA from 1 species